AAUGAACGCUGGCGGCAUGCCUAACACAUGCAAGUCGAACGAGACCUGCGGGCUUAGUGGCGCACGGGUGGGUAACGGGUGGGAACCUGCCUUUAGGUUUGGAAUAACUCGCCGAAAGGGGUGCUAAUACCGGAUAAUGUCUCCGGACCAAAGGUUUAUCGCGUUUGGAUGGGCCCGCGUUGGAUUAGCUAGUUGGUAGGGUAAAAGCCUACCAAGGCGACGAUCCAUAGCUGGUUAGAGAGGAUGGUCAGCCACACUGGGGCUGGGACACGGCCCAGACUCCUGCGGGAGGCAGCAGUGGGUAAUAUUGGACAGUGGGCGGAGGCCUGAUCCAGCUAUGCCGCGUGAGUGAUGAAGGCCUUGGGGUUGUAAAGCUCUUUUACCCGGGAUGAUAAUGACGGUACCGGGAGAAUAAGCUCCGGCUAACUCCGUG
rnacentral:rRNA from 1 species